UAUGGCUCAGGAUGAACGCUAGCGGCAGGCUUAACACAUGCAAGUCGAGGGGCAGCGGGAUGUAGCAAUACAUUGCCGGCGACCGGCGGAUGGGUGCGUAACGCGUAUGCAACCUACCUUAUACAGGGGAAUAACCUUUCGAAAGGGAGACUAACACCCCAUAGUAUUGAUUUAAGGCAUCUUAGAUUAAUUAAAUAUUUAUAGGUAUAAGAUGGGCAUGCGUAUGAUUAGCUAGUUGGUAAGGUAACGGCUUACCAAGGCGACGAUCAUUAGGGGUUCUGAGAGGAAGGUCCCCCACACUGGUACUGAGACACGGACCAGACUCCUACGGGAGGCAGCAGUGAGGAAUAUUGGUCAAUGGGCGCAAGCCUGAACCAGCCAUGCCGCGUGCAGGAAGACGGCCUUAUGGGUUGUAAACUGCUUUUACAUAAGACUAACCGUAUAUUUGCGAAUAUACCUGAAUGUAUUAUGAGAAUAAGGAUCGGCUAACUCCGUGCCAGCCGCCGC
rnacentral:rRNA from 1 species